rnacentral:lncRNA from 1 species
GGCAGCUGCGUGCAUAGUUCCUCUGUGGAAAGCCGAGUAAGGAAGUACCGAGGAGGUCAAAGUGUCACCUGAUAGUGAAGGACGGAUGGAGUUUUAGUUACGGUGGGGAGGGGACUGGCUCUAGACCACCCUAGAGACUACGCAUGGGAAGCCGAUAGUCACUAACACUAGGUCUCCUUUAACAGAUAAGACAGCAUUGCAGUCUGGCAAGUUGAGGGAUCACGUCUAUUCUACAAGUGGAGGAACUAAAUGUGAAAAGGGAGACGCAUCUGUCUCUCUCAGUGAGGACGGAGCAAUUCUGGCUAAGAGAGGAUGAUGAAAAGCCCAAUGAUGUUCUUUUUUCUCAGCUAGGAAUGGAGGCCAGUGACUCUUAGCAAGUGCCUUGAGUUUUCACAUCUGGGCUGAACGCAACAUCUGGAAAGGGGAACGUUCUCAAUAACGGGAAAGGAGACAAUGGCUGCCUGCUUUCCUACUCAUCCCAGAGGCACAAUUCUUCCACCUGUUUUUCUGAAAAACAAGAGUCAUCCAUGAGCAUGGUACCUGCAAGUGAUGGUGUCAAAUAUGAAGAAGUAUACAGUUACUCCCUAUCUGUGGUUGGAGAGGCUUACUUGUGAGUUUCAUGAGGUUUGUGACCUUCCUUCCAGGGGAUAGAAGUGCUUUUCUCAUGCUGUGCUACUUUCUCUGUGAGGCUUGUGCUCUCUGUCCCCUACCCCG